UGACCUCAUAGCCAGGGUGGUGGAGGUAUAAACUUUUUUACCCCAUCUCUCCAGGGAUCUAGCUUCCUUAUCCGCUGGCAGUGGAAUCUUGGCAGUGGAAGUAGCC